GUGUCGCUUGACAAGUAUACCUAUUAAUCAGUUGACCUCUCUCUAUUUGUGUUUUCUUCUAGGUCGGCUGACCCUGGUCUUCUUUGAGUUUAUGAUAUUCCCCGCUCGUCCGAGCUUUUGUAGGCCGAAGCAAAUGCUUAGAUGAGAAGAAGUCAGAGCAAAAGUCAAAACAAGAAGGACAAAGAAGUCUCUUCCACUCCUCUAGAGGUUGAGGAUGAGGAAGU
rnacentral:lncRNA from 1 species